AGGUUGUUUCUUAUUUAUAUGUGGGGAUUUUUGGUGGAGAUGCAACUUGACAUCAUAAACUAAUUUCGAGGCUUAUGAUCAAGAUGUGUAGGUAGAAUAUGUUGUCUGUGGCAAUGGUAUCCCAAAAUUUGACUGGCAGACCUAACUAUUUGCCAACAAUUCUCCUAUUUACUCUCUUCAUUGCUGAGUGAUUAAGGUGGCUUUCGAACAAUUAAUCGACUUGAAUUCUUGGCACCAUCAAGGAUGUUGUUGAGUUUCAAGUGAUUCUGGCAUUGUUUGAUGGUCUGAUGAGCGUCCUGCAGGCUCUUGAGAUUUCUAAGAGACUAAAGUUGUGAGCUCCACAAUAGAAGCGAGCUGACUAAAGUACAUCUCUACUGAUGAUUGAUUGUUGCUAUUUGAUAAUGACUGGGAUCAAAUAGCAAUAUUCAGAAGCAGCUGUACUACAGUGAGCAAGCAU